rnacentral:lncRNA from 1 species
GUUACAGCCAGACCAGAAGAGAAGAUGGAGACUGGGCUUUAAGGUUAGUUACAGCCAGAGGAGAAGAGGGAGACUGGGCUUUAAGGUUAGUUACAGCCAGACCAGAAGAGAAGAUGGAGACUGGGUUAUAAGGUUAGUUACAGCCAGACCAGAAGAGAAGAGGGAGACUGGGUUAUAAGGUUAGUUACAGCCAGACCAGAGGAGAAGAGGGAGACUGGGUUAUAAGGUUAGUUACAGCCAGACAAGAAGAGAAGAGGGAGACUGGGUUAUAAGGUUAGUUACAGCCAGACCAGAAGAGAAGAGGGAGACU